AAUAGAUACCCUGGUAGUCCACGCCGUAAACGAUGUCGACUUGGAGGUUGUUCCCUUGAGGAGUGGCUUCCGGAGCUAACGCGUUAAGUCGACCGCCUGGGGAGUACGGCCGCAAGGUUAAAACUCAAAUGAAUUGACGGGGGCCCGCACAAGCGGUGGAGCAUGUGGUUUAAUUCGAUGCAACGCGAAGAACCUUACCUACUCUUGACAUCCAGAGAACUUAGCAGAGAUGCUUUGGUGCCUUCGGGAACUCUGAGACAGGUGCUGCAUGGCUGUCGUCAGCUCGUGUUGUGAAAUGUUGGGUUAAGUCCCGCAACGAGCGCAACCCUUAUCCUUUGUUGCCAGCGGUUAGGCCGGGAACUCAAAGGAGACUGCCAGUGAUAAACUGGAGGAAGGUGGGGAUAACGUCAAGUCAUCAUGGCCCUUACGAGUAGGGCUACACACGUGCUACAAUGGCGCAUACAAAGAGAAGCGACCUCGCGAGAGCAAGCGGACCUCAUAAAGUGCGUCGUAGUCCGGAUUGGAGU
rnacentral:rRNA from 1 species